rnacentral:rRNA from 1 species
GUGGUGUAGCGGUGAAAUGCUUAGAUAUCACGAUGAACUCCGAUCGCGAAGGCAGGUGUCCGGGCUGCAACUGACGCUGAGGCUCGAAAGUGUGGGUAUCAAACAGG